rnacentral:rRNA from 1 species
UACGUAGGGGGCAAGCGUUGUCCGGAAUCAUUGGGCGUAAAGAGCGCGUAGGCGGUCCGGUAAGUCCGCUGUGAAAGUCGGGGGCUCAACCCUCGAAUGCCGGUGGAUACUGCCGGGCUAGAGUCCGGAAGAGGCGAGUGGAAUUCCUGGUGUAGCGGUGAAAUGCGCAGAUAUCAAGGAGGAACACCGAUGGCGAAGGCAGCUCGCUGGGACGGUACUGACGCUGAGGCGCGAAAGCGUGGG